rnacentral:rRNA from 1 species
GAUGAACGCUGGCGGCGUGCCUAAUACAUGCAAGUCGAGCGAACGGACGAGAAGCUUGCUUCUCUGAUGUUAGCGGCGGACGGGUGAGUAACACGUGGAUAACCUACCUAUAAGACUGGGAUAACUUCGGGAAACCGGAGCUAAUACCGGAUGAUAUUUUGAACCGCAUGGUUCAAAAGUGAAAGGCGGUCUUGCUGUCACUUAUAGAUGGAUCCGCGCUGCAUUAGCUAGUUGGUAAGGUAACGGCUUACCAAGGCAACGAUGCAUAGUCGACCUGAGAGGGUGAUCGGCCACACUGGAACUGAGACACGGUCCAGACUCCUACGGGAGGCAGCAGUAGGGAAUCUUCCGCAAUGGGCGAAAGCCUGACGGAGCAACGCCGCGUGAGUGAUGAAGGUCUUCGGAUCGUAAAACUCUGUUAUUAGGGAAGAACAUAUGUGUAAGUAACUGUGCACAUCUUGACGGUACCUAAUCAGAAAGCCACGGCUAACUACGUG